AUACGUAGGGGGCGAGCGUUAUCCGGAAUUAUUGGGCGUAAAGAGUGCGUAGGUGGUUUUGUAAGCGCGAGGUGAAAGGCUAUGGCUCAACCAUAGUAAGCCUUGUGAACUGUGAGACUUGAGUGCAGGAGAGGAAAGUGGAAUUCCUAGUGUAGCGGUGAAAUGCGUAGAUAUUAGGAAGAACACCAGUGGCGAAGGCGGCUUUCUGGACUGAAACUGACGCUGAGGCUCGAAAGCGUGGGGAGC
rnacentral:rRNA from 1 species